UUCACUGUUACGACACAGCCUAAUAAGACAACAGAAAACUCCAUUACGGCAGGGAAAAACUCUUCCGGAGAAGCAGCCACAACCAGUUACCCAAAAAUAACUCCAGAUCCCUCUAUACGCAAUUUCACUGUUAUGACACAGCCUAAUAAGACAACAGAAAACUCCAGUACGGGAGGGAAAAACUCUUCGGAAAAAGCAGCCACAACCAGUUACCCAAAAAUAACUCCAGAUCCCUCUAUACGCAAUUUCACUGUUACGACACAGCCUAAUAAGACAACAGAAAACUCCAGUACGGGAGGGAAAAACUCUUCAGAAAAAGCAGCCACAACCAGUUACCCAAAAAUACCUCCAGAUCCCUCUAUACGCAAUUUCACUGUUACGACACAGCCUAAUAAGACAACAGAAAACUCCAGUACGGGGGGGAAAAACUCUUCAGAAAAAGCAGCCACAACCGGUUACCC